AGGAAGUAAAAGUCGUAACAAGGUCUCCGUUGGUGAACCAGCGGAGGGAUCAUUAUAGAGUUAUAAAAACUCCCAACCCAUGUGAAUCUUACCUUUUGUUGCUUCGGCAGCAUACCCUAUACGGGGUCCCCGAAACAGUACCUACCCGGUACUUUGGGGUACUCGGUAGCGGGUCAUGUCUGCCGAUGGCCCUUAAAACUCUGUUUUAUUUUGGAACUCUGAAUACAAAACUUAAUAAGUUAAAACUUUCAACAACGGAUCUCUUGGUUCUGGCAUCGAUGAAGAACGCAGCGAAAUGCGAUAAGUAAUGUGAAUUGCAGAAUUCAGUGAAUCAUCGAAUCUUUGAACGCACAUUGCGCCCAUUAGUAUUCUAGUGGGCAUGCCUGUUCGAGCGUCAUUUCAACCCUUAAGCCCUGUUGCUUAGCGUUGGGAGCCUGUAACUUUGGCUACAGCUCCUUAAAGAUAGUGGCGGAGUUCAUUCCAACUCUCGGCGUAGUAAUUCAUUCUCGUCUUGUAGUGGUUUGGCCCCCUGCCGUAAAACCCCCUAUUUAUACAGGUUGACCUCGGAUCAGGUAGGAAUACCCGCUGAACUUAAGCAU
rnacentral:rRNA from 1 species